AUAAAGCGGAUUUUCAAAGCCCGAAGCUUCAAUUUCGGGCAAGGGCAUUUCCGAAGUGCGUUUACUUGAGUCCUUUUUCAGGUAGGCGGGAAUUCCCCGGGGUGGCGGGAAAUGCGUAGAUAUCGGGAGGGACACCAGUGGCGAAAGGCGGCCUACUGGGACGGUACUGACGGUCAUGGACGAAAGCUGGGGGAGCAAACCGGAUUAGAUACCCGGGUAGUCCCAGCCCGUAAACGAUGGAUGUUAGGUGUAGUGAUAACUUCGCUGCACCCCAGCUAACGCGUUAAACAUCCCGCCUGGGGAGUACGGGCGCAAGCCUGAAACUCAAAGGAAUUGGCGGGGGCCCGCACAACCGGUGGAGCGUCUGGUUUAAUUCGAUGCUAACCGAAAAACCUUACCAGGGUUUGAAAUGGUAGGAAAGGCUGUCGAAAGAUAGCUGUGUCUCCCUUUUGGGAGAAAUCCUACCACAGGUGGUGCAUGGCCGUCGUCAGCUCGUGUUGUGAGAUGUUGGGUUAAGUCCCGCAACGAGCGCAACCCUUGUCCUUAUUUGCUUCCUCGUAUGAGGUGCUCUAUAAGGAGACUGCCGGCGACAAGCCGGAGGAAGGAGGGGACGACGUCAGGUCAGUAUGCCCUUUAUGCCCUGGGCUACACAGGCGCUACAGUGGCAAGGACAAUGAGUAGCGAGAGCGCAAGCUCGAGCUAAUCUCACAAACCUUGUCGUGGUGCGAAUUGAAGGUUGAAACUCACCUUCAUGAAGCCGGAAUCGGUAGUAAUGGCGUAUCAGCUAUGUCGCCGUGAAUACGUUCCCGGGCCUU
rnacentral:rRNA from 1 species